UACAGAGGAUGCAAGCGUUAUCCGGAAUGAUUGGGCGUAAAGCGUCUGUAGGUGGCUUUUUAAGUCCGCCGUCAAAUCCCAGGGCUCAACUCUGGACAGGCGGUGGAAACUACCAAGCUGGAGUACGGUAGGGGCAGAGGGAAUUUCCGGUGGAGCGGUGAAAUGCGUAGAGAUCGGAAAGAACACCAACGGCGAAGGCGGCUACCUGGACCAGCACUGACACUGAAGCACGAAAGCGUGGGGAGCAAACAGG
rnacentral:rRNA from 1 species